rnacentral:sRNA from 1 species
GAUAUUUAAAAAAAUAGAAAUGAUAAAAUUAAAAAAACACAACUAUUGACUAAUUAAGACACUAAAUAAAGGUAACAAUACAAAUUAAAUAACUCAAACAACUCUCGAUCUUGGUCUCAAAUUUACUUAAUUUAUUUUAUAUCACUAUUAGCUGAUCUUCAAUAUGUAUAGAUAAAUAUUUAUGGUGGAAAUUAAUGGAAUAUGUAUUAUAUUCUCUUGUGAAUUUGGUCAAAGAGAAUGUAUAUUUCAAACAUAAACUGUAAGUUGACUAAAUGCAAAGCUUUUUGAACCAAAAGAAAAACCUUGACCCAGUGGUUUUAAUGAAAAAAUAUAUUUUAACAGUAUCUAACAUACAUAUUGUUUCAUGCACUGCUCACAUAAUUUGGUGUAUUGAUUACUUUUUUACUAAACUAUAUCUUCUAAAUUAUAAGAGACUAGAUAAGGCCCGCCUUAUUGAUAAUAUUUUUUUAUCGAUAAUAUUUAAAA